rfam:Oryza glumipatula chromosome 1, whole genome shotgun sequence.
AAUAAACACAACCAUGAGUUUCUGCGCCCAACUUUGAUCGUCCGUCUUAUUUAAUUUUUUUUUUAUGAUUAGUAUUUUUAUUGUUAGGAGAUGAUAAAACCUGAAUAGAACUUUACUCGUGACAUAUUUUUUUUAGUUUUUUUUUUAAAAAUUUAAAUAAGACAAGCGAUUAAAGUUGGACACGGAAAAUUAUUGCUGUUAGA